AAAAAGGAAAAAAAAAAAAAAAAAAAAAAAAAAAAAAAAAAAA
rnacentral:ribozyme from 13 species